rnacentral:rRNA from 1 species
GCAAGUCGAACGGUGUAGGGGGCAACCCCGUGAGAGUGGCGAACGGCUGAUUAAUAUAUCGGAUCGUGCCCAGGCAUGGGGGAUAACGUAGUGAAUAUUACCCUAAUACCACAUACGAUCUAAGGAUGAAAGCGGGGGAUCACAUGACCUCGCGCGACUGGAGCGGCCGAUAUCAGAUUAUGUAGGUGGUAAGGUAAAGGCCUAGCUAGCCAACGAUCUGUAGCUGGUCUGACAGGACCACCAGCCGCACUGGAACUGAGACACGGACCACACUCCUACGGGAGGCAGCGGAGGGGAAUUUUGGACAAUGGGCGAAAGACCUGAUCCAGCCAUUCCGCGUGCAAGAUGAAUGUCCUCGGGUUGUAGACUGCUUUUGUACAGAACCAACACGUUUCUAUAAGUACUACGAGCUCAUGACGGUACUGUAAGAAUAAGCACCGUGCUAACUACCUGCCAGCAGCCGCGGGAAUACGUAGGGUGCAAGCGUUAAUCGGAAUUACUGGGCGUAAAGCGUGCGCAAGCGGUUAUAUAAAUCACAUGUGAAAUCCCCGGGCUCAGCCUGUGAACUGCAUUUGAUACUGUAUAGCUAAAGUACGGUAGAGGGAGAUGGAAUUCCGCGUGUAGCAAUGAAAUGCGUAGAUAUGCGGAUGAACACCGAUGGCGAAUGCCAUCCCCUGGACCUGUACUGACACUCAUGCACGAUAGCGUGGGAAGCAAACACGAUUAGAUACCCUGUGAGUCCACGCCCUACUCGAUGUCAACUGGUUGUUGGGUCUUAACUGACUC